rnacentral:rRNA from 1 species
UACGUAGGGGGCGAGCGUUGUCCGGAUUUAUUGGGCGUAAAGGGCGUGUAGGCGGUCAAGUAAGUGGAAUGUGAAAGCCCCCGGCUUACCCGGGGAUCUGCAUCCCAAACUGCUUGGCUUGAGUACGGGAGAGGAUAGGGGAAUUCCUGGUGUAGCGGUGAAAUGCGUAGAUAUCUGGAGGAACACCGGUGGCGAAGGCGGCAUCCUGGACCGACACUGACGCUGAGGCGCGAAAGCUAGGGGAGCAAACGGG